AUUGAACGCUGGCGGCAUGCCUUACACAUGCAAGUCGAACGGCAGCACGGGAGCAAUCCUGGUGGCGAGUGGCGAACGGGUGAGUAAUAUAUCGGAACGUGCCCGGUCGUGGGGGAUAACGUAGCGAAAGCUACGCUAAUACCGCAUACGAUCUACGGAUGAAAGCGGGGGAUCGCAAGACCUCGCGCGAUUGGAGCGGCCGAUAUCAGAUUAGGUAGUUGGUGAGGUAAAGGCUCACCAAGCCGACGAUCUGUAGCUGGUCUGAGAGGACGACCAGCCACACUGGGACUGAGACACGGCCCAGACUCCUACGGGAGGCAGCAGUGGGGAAUUUUGGGACAAUGGGCGCAAGCCUGAUCCAGCAAUGCCGCGUGCAGGAUGAAGGCCU
rnacentral:rRNA from 1 species